GAUGAACGCUAGCGGCAGGCCUAAUACAUGCAAGUCGAACGAGAUUAAGGAGCUUGCUUCUUAUGAAAGUGGCGCACGGGUGCGUAACGCGUAUGCAACCUACCUUAAUCAGGGGGAUAGCCCGAAGAAAUUCGGAUUAACACCGCAUAAAAACACAGGAUAGCAUUAUCCAAUGUUCAAAUAUUUAUAGGAUUAAGAUGGGCAUGCGUGUCAUUAGCUAGUUGGCGGGGUAACGGCCCACCAAGGCGACGAUGACUAGGGGAUCUGAGAGGAUGACCCCCCACACUGGUACUGCGACACGGACCAGACUCCUACGGGAGGCAGCAGUAAGGAAUAUUGGUCAAUGGAGGCAACCCUGAACCAGCCAUGCCGCGUGCAGGAAGACUGCCCUAUGGGUUGUAAACUGCCUUUAUCCGGGAAUAAACCUUUUUACGUGUAAGAAGCUGAAUGUACCGGAAGAAUAAGGAUCGGCUAACUCCGUGCCAGCCGCCGCAGUAAUAC
rnacentral:rRNA from 1 species